CACUGCUUAUCGGCAUAAUGUGAAUAAAAUUAUGUAAAUUGUGAUCAACAAUCGUCAAUGUCGGCAUUUUAAUCUUCUAAAAGUUUAUAAUCAUUAAAUUUUUAUUUUUGUUAAUGUCCUAUAAUAAUUUCUAUAAGUACUUUUAGGUAUAUUUUUUCCAAAAAUAAACAAUGGUACAUUUUUGCAGUACCUAUAAUUGCUCCAAUACAAGUGAUAAACAAAAUGAAUUAAUAUUUCACAAGUUUCCAUUCAUUGGUAAAGAAAAAUUAAAAAAUGGAUUCAUGCUGUCAGACGGACAAAUUCCAAUUGUAGUUACAUACUACAUUAUACAAUAAAGCAGCUAUAAAUGGGGAAAUAAUUUAAAAAAAAAUUGUUGUGCCAACUAUCUUCGAAUUCUCAGAUCAUUUAAUGUCAAAGGAUAUGUUAGAACUAUAGAAAAUGAAUACAAAUGUGUAUGCUUCAAAUGGUAUAAAAAAUAUAUUUUAUGGUGUUGGAGUCUAGAUAAAACUAACUGGUGGACAAGUUAAUAAGACAGUACAUAAUUUACAUCCAGAAAAUAAAAUAUUACAACAAAUAUUUAAUUGAGGAUACAUUUUGACGUAGUAAAGAUGGUAAAGUUCAUGGCUUUUGUGAUCUUGAUGGUAUUGCUCAUAAUGAAGGUUUAGGACAAUGGUGGCUGAUCUCAUUUAAUUGUAGAGAAGAGCGAAGAAGAAGAAAUAAAGUAUUAUUUUGUUUCAAUCAAAUUUAAAUUGUAUAUUAUAUUACAGAAAAAAUAUCAAAAUGAAGACAUCCUUCCAUUAGUAGUAAACCUAGAGAUCAGGAGAGAAAAUUGAAAAAGAAGAAAAAUAUCAGUAGAAGAUGCAAAUCUUUCCAGACAGUGGUGCACAUAGAAAACAAUUUUGAAGAGGUUUUUGUACCAUCAAUAUGUUGUAUUUACUGUUCCAUUCAAUAUUUAUAAGUUAUUUUAUUUUCAUAUAAUUAUAAUGAAUCACUGUGAAUAGCUACAGAAUCUCAAUUUCAAUUAAAUAACUGAUAUUUUAAAGCCCAAUAUUUUUCUGCGAGUCUUGUAUAUGUAUUAAUUUAUAAUAUAAAUAAACAUUUUUUAUUUAAAUUAUGAGCUGACUAUUAAGCAUUCAAGCCUCAUAAAUUUUAAAUAUAAUUAGUUAUUACUUAACACAUUCUGGUAUAAAACAAAAUUAUACGUAGACGUCUUUAACAAAGAUAGAUACUCCAAAUGUAUUCGCUAUCUUUUUAAAAUUAUGUCAGCAUAGUAUGUGUUAUCUCUAUCUAACCCACGCGCAACAUAGCAAAUUUUAUGUUCACAAUAAUGGCUAUAAUCAUUUUAAUUUCUCAAAUUAGCGUGAAAUGACCUCUUAUAAAAUUUUAAGUUAAGAACAUUAUCUAAGGCAUCACA